GGGAGCCAAGACAAACUUGGAAAGAUGGGCAUGGUGCUAGGUACCAAAUGAAAAUAAAGGGAACAAACUGACCACAAAAUCAACCUCAAAUGCCCUGCAUUGUGCCUUAGAGGCAAUGAAACAGUAGUGCUGACUUCCUAGAACAGGAACCCUUCACCAAGCAAGAACUGCCCAUUUCAGAGGCUGCAAGGCGCUCUUCUAAAUCACAAAAGAAGCAAGAGGAAGUGAGGUCAUUGUUAGAGGUCUGAGUCUCGGGUUAGAACGAGCCCCUGUGUCUAUGAUACUAGGCUUGGGCCUUAAGGAUGUUUCAAGACCUGGAGAGCUGUGCUUGGCUAGAUCUUGUUGCUUCUCAUCACCGAAGCUAUUCCCAAGCACCACAAGCCCCUCUGGGAAAUUAAUGAUGGUUGGAGAGGAAGCCAGCUCCACAGUCAAGCUGGGGGCAUUUGAGGAGCCGAAGCUACCCAUCAAAUAAGAGACCCCGUUGGAGAACCAGAAAGGACAUUCUCCAAGCUGUCUGAAAUCCCGGUUGGUACUCCAGGUUUCAACAACUGCAGCACAAGGAGAGACAGCAAAGAACAUCCUGGCCUUUGACAACCCCCUGCCUUGUAAUAUGCUGAGGUUAAUCAGACCCAGGACAAUUUGGAAGCGGCUCUUCUGCCACAACUUGGGGAGUGGAGGUAGAGAAGGCCAUAGGAGCCCCAGCAGGGCUGUUCUGAAGAUUUUCAACAUCUGAAAUUCACAGGAUCAUGGAGACGAACUAAUUCAUCAUGGAGACGAACUAAACCAGAUGCGUCUAGCCCCUCAUGUUAGAGUUGAGAAAACAGAAACCCAGGAUUUGGGGACUCCCUUGAAGUCAUCAAGGUCCUGGUUGAUGGCAAAAUCAGGACCAAGCUUCUGAUCCUCCCAAAUAUUCCUUCACUCCUCAGUGCUGCCUGUGAUGAGAAAGAUCAAAGCAUGCAUACAAUUAUAAAUCAUGACACAGAGGCAACAUGCAAUUAUUUAGGUACUAAUUAAUAGACUGUGUACCAAGUAAGCACUAAUCAAAUUUUUCAUGCCUUGACAGGGUAAUAGCUUGUCAGGAAUUUCUGAAGAUGAAAAAACUAUUUGUCUCAGGACAAAUCCAUCUCCUUCCAGUAAAUACAAGGAAAGGAGAAAGUGUAACCAGGGGUAUUUAAGUUCAGCCUCCUCCAGCAGCCAUCUGCUGCUGCUUUUUUUUUUUUAAUGUUAUUGACAUGUAAUUUACGUGCCAUAAAAUUCACCAUGUGCAGUAGUAUAUUCACAAGGUUGUGUAACCAUCACUACCCUCUAAUUCCAGAACAUUCUCAUCAUCCUGUUGCUUUUUGAAUGUCAGUAUUGUCAGCUCGAGUACAGCUUCACUCACAUGUGGCUCUCAGUUCAGGUAUAUUCUGUGCUAUUGCUCGUGUAUUGUUCUUCUUGACCCACAUGAUCAGAUGCCCCAAGUUCACUCUGUA